rnacentral:rRNA from 1 species
AUACGGAGGGUGCGAGCGUUGUUCGGAAUCACUGGGCGUAAAGGGCGCGCAGGCGGCUUGGUCAGUCAGAUGUGAAAUCCCACGGCUUAACUGUGGACGUGCAUUUGAAACUGCCUGGCUUGAGUACCAGAGGGGAAAGUGGAAUUCCCGGUGUAGAGGUGAAAUUCGUAGAUAUCGGGAGGAAUACCGGUGGCGAAGGCGACUUUCUGGCUGGAUACUGACGCUGAGGCGCGAAAGCGUGGGGAGCAAACAGGAUUAGAUACCCUGGUAGUCCACGCCGUAAACGAUGUGAACUAGAUGUAGGGGGUGUUGAUCCCCUCUGUGUCGCAGCCAACGCAUUAAGUUCACCGCCUGGGGAGUACGGUCGCAAGAUCAAAACUCAAAUGAAUUGACGGGG